GAAUCUGGAUAUUUUGAUCAAAAAAACUGUCUGCCAUAACUGAGCCUUUACAUUGUCAUCUUUUUUGAUCAAAAUAUUUUGAUGCCAGCCUUCCUUCCACUGCCCUAAACUAUAAAGCAUUUUUUAAUGAGUUGAAAUUAAGGAAGGACUACACCUACUAGAAAAAAAGAGAAGAAAGUUCUAUUAGUUUGAGGUUUCAGAAUCCCCCCAAACCAGGACCAGUAUCGUGGUAAAGGCUAGGCUGGGAGCCCGGACAGAGUAUGAGAAUGUGCAGGUGGCAUCCCUGAGGAUUCAGAGCUUCAGUGGACCGUGAGUGCUCCAGCUGCAUAACUCACUGAACUGUCUUGCCAGUUUCUACACUGGCUCGACUGGGCAUAAUUCAAAAACGAAAAACUCAUAUUCAUUCCAUUCUUCUGGAGCUCUGUGAUAGCAUUUAAUAACACCCCAAUGGGAUGUCUUCCACAUAUAGUAUUAUGGUAUUUCUUCAAGUAAUUGCUAAAAGAUACAGGGUCUAAUUGUUCUAUAAUACUCAUACCCAUUUUAUCUAGAUGUUCAAUGGAUCUACAAAUCUCCCCCUGGGAUUCAUCAUAGUAACUGUGACGGAACCUUUGACCCCAAUGGCAGAAAUCAGAAGAAACCACAAAGAGAUUACUAGGAUCCGCUAGAUAUUUACUGAAAAGUUCCGAAUUCCUGUUCUUUUGACUCAGAGCUCCAACCAGUAAAGGAAUAAUGGUAAACUCAUCCUUAUGGCUUUCCAUGGCUUUAGCUGUAUAAGGCAAAUGCAUUUCAAUACUGCGUUCAUCUUCAUCUGUCUGCAGAGACAUGCGUUCAAACAUUCCUGUCUUCCAUAGUUCUCCGUAAAUCUUUUGGUCAAUACGAAGGUCAUACAGGGGUGUCCUAUAUAUAUCCACACUGGAAAGUGCACAUCGAGAGAGGGGCACAUGAUGAGAAGGCCCAAGGAUGAAAAUUCUCCGGGUAAUAGACGGAUCCACUUGUUUAUAAGCAUGGGCAGCACAAGACCCACAGUACGUAUAUCCUGCAUGGGGGGCAAUAAUGGCUCUAGCAGGUCUUUUUGUAGACUGUACUUGUGAAAGCCAACCUUCUAGCUGUGCAUUCAGCUGCGGUCCUGAGGCUGUGUACCAGCUCCCGGCGUGACUGGCUUCUCGGCAGACCACUCGGUUGGACAUCUUGGUGCCUGUGCCGCCUAUGGUGCACGAGGAUGAAUGAGGAGGCGGCGGCGGCGGCGGCAGGAGCGGCUCCGCGAGGGGACGAGACACCGCGGGCCCAGCCCAGGAGGAGGCGGC
rnacentral:lncRNA from 1 species